GUAGGGAAUCUUCGGCAAUGGACGAAAGUCUGACCGAGCAACGCCGCGUGAGUGAAGAAGGUUUUCGGAUCGUAAAACUCUGUUGGUAGAGAAGAACGUUGGUGAGAGUGGAAAGCUCAUCAAGUGACGGUAACUACCCAGAAAGGGACGGCUAACUACGUGCCAGCAGCCGCGGUAAUACGUAGGUCCCGAGCGUUGUCCGGAUUUAUUGGGCGUAAGGCGAGCGCAGGUGGUUUAUUAAGUCUGGUGUAAAAGGCAGUGGCUCAACCAUUGUAUGCAUUGGAAACUGGUAGACUUGAGUGCAGGAGAGGAGAGUGGAAUUCCAUGUGUAGCGGUGAAAUGCGUAGAUAUAUGGAGGAACACCGGUGGCGAAAGCGGCUCUCUGGCCUGUAACUGACACUGAGGCUCGAAAGCGUGGGGAGCAAACAGGAUUAGAAACCCUUGUAGUCC
rnacentral:rRNA from 1 species